rnacentral:rRNA from 1 species
UGGGGAAUAUUGCACAAUGGGCGAAAGCCUGAUGCAGCAACGCCGCGUGCGGGAUGACGGCCUUCGGGUUGUAAACCGCUUUCAGCAGGGACGAAGGUUUUCUGAUGGUACCUGCAGAAGAAGCACCGGCUAACUACGUGCCAGCAGCCGCGGUGAUACGUAGGGUGCGAGCGUUGUCCGGAAUUAUUGGGCGUAAAGAGCUUGUAGGCGGUCCGUUGCGUCGGAAGUGAAAACUCAGGGCUUAACCCUGAGCCUGCUUUCGAUACGGGCGGACUUGAGGGAUGUAGGGGAGAACGGAAUUCCUGGUGGAGCGGUGGAAUGCGCAGAUAUCAGGAGGAACACCAGUGGCGAAGGCGGUUCUCUGGACAUUUCCUGACGCUGAGAAGCGAAAGCGUGGGGAGCAAAACAGGCUUAGAUACCCUGGUAGUCCACGCCGUAAACGGUGGGCACUAGGUGUGGGACCCAUUCCACGGGUUCCGUGCCGCAGCUAACGCAUUAAGUGCCCCGCCUGGGGUAGUACGGCCGCAAGGCUAAAAACCUCAAAUGAAUUGACGGGGUCAUAGCUGUUU